rnacentral:misc_RNA from 1 species
GAUGAAGAACGUAGCGAAAUGCGAUAAGUAAUGCGAAUUGCAGAAUUUCCGUGAGUCAUCGAAUCUUUGAACGCACAUUGCGCCCACUGGUAUUCCGGUGGGCAUGCCUGUUCGAGCGUCAUUAUCCUCCCUCAAACCCCGGGUUUGGUGUUGGACCGAAGUUGUGCGAACAACUGGUCUAAAAAACAAUGACGGCGUCCGUGGGACCCUCGGUGCAACGAGCUUUUAGGAGCACGCGCCGAGUUGCAAGGACCUUCCGGGCCGGUCUCCUUUUACUAUUUUACAAGGUUGACCUCGGAUCAGGUAGGAAUACCCGCUGAACUUAAGCAUAUCAAUAAGCGGAGGA